GAGUGGUGAGGAAUUGAUGGUGACAGAAGAGAGUGAGCACACAUGGUGGCUUUCUUGCAUAUUUGAAGGUUCCAUGCUUGAAGCUAUGUGUGCUCACUCUCUAUCCGUCACCCCCUUCUCUCCCUCUCCCUC
rnacentral:pre_miRNA from 1 species